GGGGGGGGUCUUUUUAGGGCCAUACCUGCAGCAUAUGGAGGUUCCAGGCUAGCCAGGGAAUUGGAACUGUAGCUGCCAGCCUACACCACAGCCACAGCAGUGCAGGAUCCAAGAGCAUCUGUAACCUACCACGUCUCACAGCAAUGCCAGAUCCUUAACCCACCGAGCAAGGCCAGGGAUCAAAUCCAGGUCCUCAGGGAUACUAGUCGGGUUCGUUAACCACUGAAUCAUGAUAAGAACUCCUAAAAUCUAUUUUUAAAACCAUAUACUCAAUUUAACCUUCCUCAACCUGUGGCUUGAGAUGGUAUUGAGAUGGCUUCCAUGCUGCUGGGUCUGUUUACAAUUUAUAGAAUAGUUUCUUUUAUUGAAUGUGGUUUUAAAACUUGAUCUCCUCUGGGCAAGCCCCCUCCAGCAGGGUGUGAUAGAAGGGAUCACCUCUCAGUGCAAUGCCUAAAAAUAGGUCUGCUGACUUCCCACUUCAAUCCAGGUAACAGCUGUUGAAUCCUUUGCAUUUCUGAAGUCUGUUGAGUUUUUUCCUUCUAGCUCCCUAUCUUGAAACUAACCAAGAGAUAAUUUCAUCAUUUGGCUUCUGGUCUUUUCUACACAUGUUUUCAGACAAAGCUUUAAAGAAGUUUUUGAAGGUAUAGAACUGCAUUUUAGUGGGUUUUUUUUCCCCCUUGCAUAUGUCAUUGUAGGCAGUUUGCAAUUACCACAACACAUACAUAAUAGAGUUCUCCAAAAAUGGAGUCUUCUAGAGAGCUUUAAAAAAUUGGUGGUCAGAAGUUCCCAUCAUGGCGCAGUGGUUACCGAAUCCGACUAGGAACCAUGAGGUUGUAGGUUCGAUCCCUGGCCUUGCUCAGUGGGUUAAGGAUCCAGUGUAGGUUGCAGACGUGGCUCGGAUCCUGCGUUGCUGUGUCUCUGGCAUAGGCCGGUGGCUACAUCUCUGAUUGGAUUCCUAGCCUGGGAAUCUCCAUAUGCCGCGGGAGCAGCCCUAGAAAAGGCAAAAAGACCAAAAAAAAAAAAAAAUUGGUGGUUAAAACACACAGAUACAGAGAACAAACCAGUGGUUACCAGUGGGGAGGGCAGGUACAAACUAUUAGGUGUAAGAUAGGCUCAAGGAUGUUAUUGUACAGCAUGGAGAAUAUAGUCAAUAUUUUUAACAACUGUAAAUGAAAAGUAAUCUUUAAAAAUUAUGUAAAUUUUUUUUUAACAUCAGGGCUUUGAUCUCCUUCCAGAGAUUCUGAUUUAAUUGGUCUUCAGUGAAGCUUAGGCAUUCGUAUUGCCUUUAAAAAGCCUCCCCAGAUGAUUCUAAGGAUUAAAAAAUAGUUUUUUUUUUUACAUUUUGUGGUAUGCCUAUGAAUUUGCAUUUGAUCAUACUUAUAUUUAUUCCAGAAAUUUAUAAUUCUUGAUAUUUUAUAAUUCUAUCAAACAACCCAAAACACAACUGUUACCUUAAAGGCUGUAUUUUUAUUAUGUACAUAGCAUUAAACAUUACAUCAUUGGUUUUACUCCCAUCUUACUUUGCAAAAUUCCCAAAUCACUUGUGAAAAGAUGAGCAAAACAGAGAAUAUAUGCAUUUGUUUUUUGUUCACAUGUUGGGACGUCACAGUAUUUUUUACUUUAAAAUCAUUCUCCUCUCUGCUCUUCUACUGGUAGGUAGUUCAUCCUCUUCUGAUCACUACCUGAAUAGAAACAGGAAAAGUAUUGGGGAAAGAGGAGAAUUUGGGGAGUUCCUAGCUAGGGCCAAGGGCAAGGAGACCUGCUAUUUGGGAAGUGACCCUUCUCCACAUGGUGAAAUGCUUUCGUCUCCUCCAACGCACAAAGAAUUGUUGGCUGAAGUCCAAUACACAGCUCCAGCAGUGAAGCAGACGCUGAAAUGUUUAUAAAUGUAAGCCUCGUGGGAUGCCCCCAGACUGGGACAUGAUGAAAGGGAAUGAAAAAUUGGGUUUCACAACUGAAAUAAAUUUCACACUUACACAUGCUUGCAUGUGCACACACAGACAUACAGACACACACACACACACACACACACACACACUGUUUUAAAAACAAGGCAGCUACAAAGAAGCCCACAGAUGUCAUUUAUCAGACUGUGACACAGUAACUGGGGUCACUCUUUUGUACCCACUCUCCCUGUCUUCCUUCCAAUCUUGCUGGAUAUAGGGCUCUAGCCUUUUCCACGGUUUAUCCCUUUCCCUCAUAGGCUACCAAUCCCAUCUUCUCUCAGAGACUAUUCUCUCACAGUUAUUUUCCAUCUCUCUCAUAGCAUCAAUUUCUCCUAUUUUAGAAUAAUAACAUCAGAGAAAAAACCUGCUCUAAAACAAAACAACACAAAAAACAAAUACAAGCAGCCAAAAAAAAAAAAAAAAAAUCGCCCUACCUUAACCCUGCUCCUGUCGUAUCUCUCUAUCCACCUCCUAAGCAGUUUCUUAAAGAAGCUCUAAGUACUUAUCUUCUCCUCACAUCCUUUUCUCUUCUCCACCCAUUCCAGCUGGCCAUCCUCCCUCAACCUCACCAAAAAGGCUCUUCACCAACUGCUUCCAUGUUGCCAAACUCAAUAGACCAUUCUCUGGCCUCUUUGUAUCCAACCUCUUUGCAGCACCCAACCCAGUUAACCAUCUCCUUUCUAGAAAACCACUCUUUUCGGCUCUCGUGACAAUAUAUCUCACUAGUGCUCCUUCUAGGACACUGCUUGCUGCUUUGCUGCUCUGCUUUUUCUCCUUUAAUUAAUUGAUAUUUUUGGCAAGUUUUACUGGGAUAUAAUUCACAUACCAUGUAAUCACUCAUUUCAAGCAUGUAAUUCAAUGGUUUUUGUAUAUUCAGAGUUGUGCAAGCAUCACUACAAUCAAUUUUAGAACAUUUCAUCACCUUAAAAAGAAAGCUUACAUCUUUUUGCUUUCCUUUUAACCAUGUCCUUCCCACCAGCACUAGGCAAUCACUAAUCUAUUUGCAGGAAUGGGUAUUGGAUUUGGUCAAAUUCUUUUUCUGCUUCUGAUAUAACCAUGUGAUUUUUCUUCUUUAGCCUGCUGAUGUGGUGAAUUACAUUACUUGAUUUUCAAAUAUUGAAGCAGCCUUACAUACCUGGGAUAUCCGGUUGUGGUGUAUAAUUCUUUAUUUUCAUGUUUAAAGUUUUAUUUAAGUGUAGUUGAUUUAUAAGGUUGUGAUAAUUUCUGCUGUACAACAAAGUGAAUCAGUUAUAUAAAUAUACACAUCCAUCCUCUUUCAGAUUCUUUUUCCAUAGAUUAUCACAGACUGUUGGGUAGAGUUCUCUGUGCUAUAUAGCAGGUCUUGGUUGGCUAAUCAUUCCAUAUACAUCAGUGUGCAUAGGCUAAUGCCAAACCUAUAGACCAUCUGUUCCCCCACCGAUCUGUCCCUUUGGUAACCAUAAGGUUUUUUUUUUUUAAUUUGUUUGUUUGUUUUGACAUAUGUAGGACUGGGCUUGCUAAUAUUUUAUUGAAGAAUUUUGAAUCUAUGUUCAUGAGAGAUAUUGGUCUGUUUUCUUUUCUUGCAAUAUCUUCAUAUGGUUUUGGUAUUAAGGUAAUGCUGGCCUCAUAAGGUGAGUUAGGAAGUAUACCCUCUGCUUCUA
rnacentral:lncRNA from 1 species